rnacentral:misc_RNA from 1 species
UACAGAGGUCCCAAGCGUUGUUCGGAUUCACUGGGCGUAAAGGGUGCGUAGGUGGUUAGGUAAGUUCGAUGUGAAAUCUCCGGGCUCAACUCGGAAAUUGCAUUGGAUACUAUCUAACUUGAGGGUCGGAGGGGAGACUGGAAUUCUCGGUGUAGCAGUGAAAUGCGUAGAUAUCGAGAGGAACACCGGUGGCGAAGGCGAGUCUCUGGACGACUCCUGACACUGAUGCACGAAAGCUAGGGGAGCAAACAGG